CUCCAGGGAAGAGAGGUUACAGCCUGAGGCUUGGUGAGAGCUCCUGGAGACAGCAUCAGCCCAUUCAGCCUGAUGUAACGUUCAUGUCUCACAGCUACAAUGGACACAUCAAGAGUCUAUGUCAAUGUAAAGACCUUUAGGACCCCAGGACACAAGUGUGCAUCACCUCCAUCUCUUCCCCCAGAUGCCAGUCAGUGCCCACACUGGCAUAGGUUGGCCCUGAAACUCGGCUGUGUUGGGCUGAUUCUUCUUGUCUUGAACCUGAUUGGACUCAGUAUCUCAGUGCGAUUCUUGAUGGAGAAACCACCAAUCGAAAAGCACGGUGUGGCUGAUCAAGAGAACAGGACUGAACCAACAGGGAGAUCAGCCAUGCUAAAGUGUCCAAGAGACUGGCAUCUACACCAGGAUAAAUGCUUAUUUAUUUCUCAAAUUCUCCGACCUUGGGCUGAAGGUCUAGCUGACUGUUUUGUGAAAGAAGCCACUUUGUUGCUCCUUGAAGAUGAAGGAGAUAUGAGAUUCAUUCAGGACAUCUCAAAGAAAAGAAGACAGCAAUUCUUUAUCGGACUAAAUUAUGUACCAGCAGAGAAGAUCUGGAAGUGUAUAAAUGCCUCUGUUUUAAGUCCUGAUAUAUGCCUGUCGGUUCCCAUACUGGCAUCAGUUGGCUCUGAAACUCCGCUGUGCUUGGCUGAUUCUUCCUGUCUUGAGCCUGACUGGACUCAGUGUCUUAGAUUGUGAAUCACUGGCAGGAACAUGAAAACAACUUCAUCUCACAGAAAGAAGUGUUUUCUGAGACCUGUUCUGCAGACAACCACUGGAUCUGCCAAAAGAUUCUGAAACAUGACUGAAAUCCUGUGUCCUGACUCCUGAUUGGGAAUCUCAUCUCUAUUACUUUACCUUCCACACCA
rnacentral:lncRNA from 1 species